CCAGGCUAAUGACAGGCAUCUCCCAGGGGACCAGCUCUGCACCAAGAUGGUGGAAGAUAAAGACAAGGAAGGGUCUCAUUGAGUUGCUUAGGGCCUUGCUAAAUUGCUAAGGCUGGCUUUGAACUCGUGAUCCUCCUGCCUCAGUCUCCCCAGAUGCUGGGAUUACAGAGUUAGCACUAGCAGAAUUUCACAAAAAAAUCAAAGAAGCAUUUGAAGUGUUUGACCAUGAGUGGAAUAAUACAGUGGAUGUGAGAGAAAUUGGGACAAUUAUCAGGUCAUUAGGAUGCUGCCCUAGUGAAGGAGAGCUACAUGAUCUGCUUGCAGAGGAGGGAUGUGAAGUUUAGUGGAUAUCUGUUAGUCUUCUCCUUUCAAAGAGAUUUGUAGAAGAAGAAGAACCCACUGGAUAUAUUAGAUAUGAAAAAUUUCCUCCAGUGAUGACCAAAGUACACUGGAAAGAAGGUAUAGACCACUUCCAGAAGAUGUCCUUCUUUGAGCUUUUGAGGUUUUAGAUUCUGCUAAAUGUGGGUUUCUUACUAAGGAAGAACUCAUCAUAUAUAUGACUGAAGAAGGUGAGCCUUUCUCCCAAGAAGAAAUGGAAGAAAUGUUGCCUGUUGCAAUGGAUCCAGACUCAAAUUCAAUUAAUUACAGGGAGUAUAUAACAAUGAUGGUGAUAGAUGAAAAUUAAAUGUCUUAAACUCUUAAUUUCUAAUUGAAAAUGUCUUGUCCUUGUUAAUUUUGCAUUUUAUUUUGUAAUUCAUUUAUCUGAUAUCAAUGCCUGUGA
rnacentral:lncRNA from 1 species